UGUGUAUUUAUCUUUUUUUGUAUCAUUUGACAACAAGGUGUCUUUAUCAUUACCAUCAUCAUGAUCAUUAUUUCCAUUUUGCCUGUUUAAAGACAAUAACCCAUUCCUUUUUAGUUUCCCAUAUACUAACAAAUGGUUUAUAAUAUGUAAAAUAAAGUGGGAUACAAAAAAAUAGUGAAGAUGAUGUUGGAAACAUACAUUUUUAAUACCCCUUUCUUCUAACUCCUGCCAAAAUAGUACUCACAGAAUAAAAUGACUAUGAUGGAUGAAUGGAUGGGAGAAAUCUCAGUACAUUACAGAUUUUACAACUUUCAUAGAAGAUUGUCUGGGAUGCCUGAGUGAGCCCAGGGCUUCUAAAUUAACAGUAGAAUCUGGGGAAAUACCCACAGAAUACAUGGCUGUUGCAGGUGUCAGAGCAUUGGUUUGAUGGUUUGAUGAGCUGCCUGUCAUAUACAUAUUCUGCUGGUGGACUCUGAGUUGAUGAUGGAACUUUAAUUGCUUCAUUAUGUCUCGCAGAAUCACACAAUCCUCCCCUGUACAUGAAGAAACCUGGAAGCAGAGAAGCUAUCCAAUCUCCCCAUGUCCCUCAGCCAGUGAUCCACUGAAAAAAUACCUUGGGUUUUGCCAAUUCUUCCAGAAGCUUGGGGUUGCUCAGUCACGACAGAAGGGUUCAGAGUAUUCCCAGCAGUGGUGCACUGUGCAUGUGAGUCGUCUCACAGCCUCCUGUGAAGCUGAGGUGGCAGGAUUUUCAAGAACUGGAUAUUUUUCCCAAGUACCAUACACUUGUGUUAGCAAAUUGUGUAUUGGGUUGUUGAAGCCUAACUGUAGGCCAGUAGGUGGUGCUAGCAGGCAAAAGCUAGCUGUGGAAGUAACAGUAGGCUUUCUGCUUGAUCUCUGUUUACCAGAAGCUCUCCAGUGCCUCAGGCAAUGGGCUGGGCUAUGGAAUGCAGGAUGACCUGGGUUUAGCACUCAGUUCCGGAGUUGGGGAAUGAAGCUGGGCAGAGCUGGACUGGACAAGAUGACACAUGGGUCUCCUAAUGGCUGGUGCAAGCACUAGCUUCAGUGGGAGUCCAAGGGGCAGUCACCAAAUGCUCAGAGAUAUGCCCAGGAAAGGAGCUGAGAAAUCACUGAUGUACCAAAUUAUCUGCACAGGAAUGGAGGGGUGGCCCAAGCUUUCAAUCCAGUUAAGCAGGAUUGGGAUUAGCCUCCCUCCCAUGCCUCAGAAUCAGCAGAGUUCACUCUCUUCUCUAAGGGAGCAAGAUGAGGUACCCUGCAAUGUCACACACAGACUGGUCCCUGGGUAGAAAGCUAUUGCUGUCUGCAGAUCUUGCCACCCAGGCAAAACUGUGGCUCCAACAAAAUCUCCUCCUGCUCCAGUCCCAUGAGGGAGAGAGCCUAAUUCCAGUGCCUGCAGCUGGAGCACAUUCCACAUUUGCCUCUAAGUUCUCCUGAUGGGUACCCUUCCCAUACUCGAAACCAAGUGCUUCAAUCUCCAGCCGAAGACAUCAAUGUCCACAGUGGCCACUGCUGCCAGUUUGCCAAACAUUACCUGGCUUGGUAUAUAGAAUGGCAUCCUCGUGGUAAAAUGCCUGAAGUAUUUUCUAGUGCCUUUCCUUUUCAGUCACUCAGCUUCUCCUCAAGUUAGAUCCAGCACUUGGGAGGGACAAGGUGCUCUUUCAUGGCCUGAUUGUAUGAUAGGUCCUUAAUUGAAAGGUGGAUACAGAGGUACACUCUGUGUCCUCCUCCCAUAUUGGGGUUUCACUCACAAUUCUCAGCCAAAUGCAGUCACAAAGGCUUCUUGCUCACCUUCUCCUUUCUGGGAUCUCCCACUUGGUCAUGGUACACUAGUGUUUUAGUAUGUUUUAAUAUGUUCAUGGGCAUUAUUUGCUAACAUAUUGUUAAGAAUUUUUUCAUCUAUAUUCGUGAUGGAAAUAGGUCUGUAUUUUUUUUCGAUUAUCUGUGUAAUUUUGGUAUAAGGAUAAUCCUGACUUUAUGAGUUAAGAAGUGUAAUCUCUUCUAUUUUUUUGGCAGAGAUUGUGUAGUUUUUGGUGUGAUUUCUCCAUUAAAUGUUUGGUAGAAUUUACAGUGGAGUCAUCUGAGUCUGGAAAUUCAUUUUUCAGAAAGUUGUAACUACAAAUUCAAUUUCCCUAACAGUCUUAUAGCCAUUCAGGCAUUCGAAUCUAUCUCGUGUAACAAAUGAAUCACAUGUCUAUGAUUUCCACUGGCCAUCCUGGAAACAAUAUUGAAUUAUGGUUUAUUUGCUUGCUUUUUCCUUCUAUGCUAUUUGUCAACCUUGUACUGGUAAGCGCUAUGGUUUAUGAGAGUAUGCUUUGAUCAUUUAGCUCCUCAUGGUACUAAAGGGACCCCACAAACAUCUACAGGAAGAACAUUGCAAGUAGAGGCUAGAGCUGUUGCAAAUGCUCUGGAAUAUUGAAAGAACAAAGACAAAAUAUUAAUGCCACUAGGGCAUAAUGACAUGGGGAGAGGAAAGAGAGGUAGAAACUUCUAUUUUAAUUGUGAUAAAAAUUUAUUUAAAAUUUUUUUUUCUUUUUUUUUUUUUGAGAUGGAGUCUCACUUUGCUGUCCAGGCUGGAGUGCAGUUGCUCUAUCUUGGCUCACUGCAACUUCCACAUCUCAGGUUCAAGCGAUUCUUCUGCCUCAGCCUCCUGAGUAGCUGGGAUUACAGGCAUGCAAUACCACGCCUGGUUAAUUUUGUAUUUUUAGUAGAGAUGGGGUUUCAUGUUAGCUAGGCUGGUCUGGAACUCCUGAUCUCAGGUUAUCCACCUGCCUCAGCCUCCAAAAAUGCUGGGAUUACAGGUGUGAGCCACUGUUCCCGGCCUCUCUAAUUCUGAAAGAAAUCAUUGGAGAGUUGUAAACAAGAAAGGUAUAUCACCUGAUUUGCAUUCCUAAAAUAUUAAUUUAGCUACUGUGGAGUGGAUAGAUGAUAGGGAAAGCUAAUUAAGUAGAGAAACUAGAUAGUAUGGUAUCACAGUAGUCCAAGUGAAAGACUAUGGAGAAUUGGAUUAGAGUUCUGAUAGUAGAAAUAUGAUAAAUAACUAUAUUAAGGGUAUGUUUACAAAUGGCACCAACAAUUCUUUUUUUUUUUUCUUUAAAUUUGAUUGCUUUUUUUUUUUUCUUUUCUUAUUUUUUUAUUGCCUUUUAGGUUUUGGGGUACAUGUGCAGAGCAUGCAAUACAGUUGCAUAGGUACACACAUGGCAGUGUGUUCUGUUUGCUUUCACCCCUUCACCCACAUUUGGCGUUUCUCCCCAGGCUAUCCCUCCCCACCUCCCCCUCCCACUGGCCCUCCCCUUUUCCCCCCAAUAGACCCCAGUGUUUAGUACUCCCCUCUCUGUGUCCAUGUGUUCUCAUUUUUCAUCACCCGCCUAUGAGUGAGAAUAUGCGGUGUUUCGUUUUCUGUUCUUGUGUCAGUUUGCUGAGAAUGAUGUUCUCCAGAUUCAUCCAUGUCCCUACAAACGACACAAACUCAUCAUUUCUGACUGCUGCAUAAUAUUCCAUGGUGUAUAUGUGCCACAUUUUACCCAGUCUAUCAUCAAUGGGCAUUUGGGUUGAUUCCAGGUCUUUGCUAUUGUAAACAGUGCUGCAAUUCUUAAAGAAUGCUACACAUAUGUGGCCACAAGUUGUCAUGACUAAUUUGCCUUAUAUUAUAAUAUGUGUAGUAUGUUAUAGAUGGUAAGUUUUAUAUAAAUAUGCAUUAUAAUAUAAACCUUAUUAGUUAAAAUCAUUUUUCAGUUAGAGCAAAGCUCUGGGUUUUUUUUUUUAUUUUUUUACUUUAGGUUCUGGGGUAGACAUGUGCAGGUUAUAGAGGGUUGUUGCACAUAACCAGAUGGUUUGCUGCUUCUAUUCCCCCUUCAUUUAUAUCCAGC
ensembl:lncRNA